AUGGAAUUCUUGGAGCGAGAUCCUGCAUUGCCACCACAAAUUUGGCAAUACCCACAAAAUCAAAGAGAUAGCGUGCGGAGAUCAGAUUUGUUGCUAGGUCCUAUGCAACCAAAACUGAAGGAGUAUAAAGCUUCUGGUAAAAAGGGCCAUCAGCGUUGCUUUCAAUAUAAGUGGUUUGAAAAAUUCCCAUCAUGGCUAGAGUACUCAGAGGAUAGUUAUCGUGCAUAUUGUUUAUUUUGCUUUGUUUAUAGCAGAAAUUUCUCAUCAAAAGGAGACUCUGAUGUAUUCACAGUGCAUGGUUUUGAUAACUGGAAGAAGGUAAAUGUUUUGGUUUGCUGCAGUUGGUCAAAAAAAAAAUUGUCUUUGGCCCCCCCAAAGGUUUUUGUCAAGCUCCGCCACUGCUAG
rnacentral:rRNA from 1 species